rnacentral:sRNA from 1 species
GAAACUGGAAACUCGGCUAAAGUCACUCACGUCCUGUGAGUAACGCCGAGUACCUACGUCCUGUAGG